AGGUGCCCGUACCGCAAACCGACACAGGUAGGUAGGAAGAAGAUUCUAAGGCCAACGGGAGAAGGGUUGUUAAGGAACUCGGCAAAUUGACCCCGUAACUUCGGGAGAAGGGGUGCUCCAGAGAUGGAGCCGCAGAGAAUCGGCCCAAGCAACUGUUUACCAAAAACACAGGUUUGUGCUAAAUCGAAAGAUGACGUAUACGAGCUGACGCCUGCCCGGUGCUGGAAGGUUAAGAGGAGAUGUGCAAGCAUUGAAUCGAAGCCCCAGUGAACGGCGGCCGUAACUAUAACGGUCCUAAGGUAGCGAAAUUCCUUGUCAGGUAAGUUCUGACCCGCAUGAAAGGCGUAAUGAUUUGGGCACUGUCUCAACAGCCCGCCCGGCGAAAUUGUAGUACCGGUGAAGAUGCCGGUUACCCGCGACAAGACGGAAAGACCCCAUGGAGCUUUACUGUAGCCUAAUAUUGGGUUUCGAUGUUGCAUGCACAGGAUAGAUGGGACACUAGGAAACAAUCGCUUUGGCGGUUGCGGAGUGGCCGUUGGGAUACCAUCCUUGCGAUAUUGGAAUUCUAACCUGCGGCUCUGAAUCGAGUCGGGGGACAUUGUUAGGUGGGCAGUUUGACUGGGGCGGUCGCCUCCUAAAAAGUAACGGAGGCGUUCAAAGGUUCGCUCAGCUUGAACGGAAAUCAAGCAAAAGAGUGCAAACGCAGAAGCGAGCCUAACUGCGAGACUGACGGGUCGAGCAGUAACGAAAGUUGGAGUUAGUGAUCCGGUGGUAUGUGAGUGGAAAUGCCAUCGCUCAACGGAUAAAAGUUACCCUGGGGAUAACAGGCUGAUCUCCCCCAAGAGUCCACAUCGACGGGGAGGUUUGGCACCUCGAUGUCGGCUCAUCGCAUCCUGGGGCUGUAUUCGGUCCCAAGGGUUUGGCUGUUCGCCCAUUAAAGCGGUACGCGAGCUGGGUUCAGAACGUCGUGAGACAGUUCGGUCCCUAUCUGUCGUGGGCGCAGGAUAUUUGA
rnacentral:rRNA from 1 species